AAGCAGCCAUAAUACAGAAAAGAAGACAUAGAUAGAAAGCGGAUAGCGUCAAUGUCAAAAGUGCACAUUUAUAGAAUUUUAAGGUUUUCUUGUGACUUGGGGUCAAAUUUUUGCCUUUUUGCCAAUUUAUUUGAUCAAUUUUAAUUAUGAACAAUUCACAGAAAAUUUCCCCUAUGGUCCAACUGUUGUUCAGACAGGCAUUCCGUAAUGCGAGCAACUUACCUGUUACUCCAAGAUUUCAGCAACUAAAGAAUGUCCAAUCAAAAUUUUUGGUUGAGGAUGGUACCCCAGUUCAUUACAAAAACGGUGUUUUUGACAAAUUUCUAACCCGGGGCACCGUUCUUCUAGCUGUAUGUGGUGCUAGUUUGGGUCUUCACACGUUCUAUACAUUACUUUUUGGAAAGAAAAGUUAAAUUUACAUAAUUAUAAUGUAAUAAAUUCUAUUAAUGUAAUAAAACUAGUUUCGUUGUAGGUAAA